CUUUAUUUUGGUGCUGGAAGUUGGAACAAAAACCAAUUCAUUUUUUGCACAAGAAUAGAAAUCCAGUUUGAAUAUUGUUGGAUGUAAUAGAGCGAACAAUAGAUGUGUGUGGUGCACGGACGUGGCCAACUGGCCAUGACCCCUUUCAGCAUGGUUCCCAAGAGAAAGGUUAUGGGUGGACAAGUAGAGGGAAAUAAGACCAAUCUAUUACUUGAUUUUCUAGGUCUUCGGGGCUCAUAAAUAGCUGACAUGGUUUUCUCCUCUCUCAAGUAUAGAUAGAUCAACUAAUCUCUUUAACCACCAUGUGGGGAGCCCGCUCCCCCUCGGAUCUCCUUGCCAUUGUGGACGCCAUGGUUGAAUUCAUGCCCUCCUCGCCCAGAUCCGGCCGUGGCUCGCAGGAGCGGUUCUGCUUGACGCUCGCAAUGACCGUCACAGGAACUUGUCGCUAGGGAUUUCCGUAGAACCGAGUGGAGGUUCCACCACAUUUAUCGAGGUGUAUGAAUAUAUACUGAGAUAUGAGCCAUGCACAUCUUCCUAUUCUCCAAUAGGUUUCUACAAUAAGGUUUCUGCAAUAAGUCAACAUUUAAAAUUUGUAUUUCAUCGUCUGUUCUUAUCCAUAGGGCAACCUGAUAACGUAGCAAAGUUUGAGAAUAUGCACUCGCAUGGUAUGGUCCGACCAAACAGGUGGAUUUCUUGUGCUACUUGUGCUCGCCUCACAAUCUGAACAAGGUCCUGCAGUGUGAGUAUCCUACUUCAAUCCUGAGCAUGAUUAGUUGAUUCAUUAAUUUAAUUAGUACAUGCAAUGCACUUAAAGGAGCAUUGUUCCUCAAAUGUUUUGCCAUUAUAUUCAUUUGUUAUGGAGAGAUUCAAGGUGUCUGGUUGGUAGGUACACACAAGCACAAUGACGGUCUUACAUCUUCAAAAAUGCAUUUGCUUGUUUUUAUUCUCCUACACAAAUCGUUGAAUUUGGAAAACUGAGGACCCGGUACUAUUUUUAUUACUAUGGACAUGAGGAAUUUUGGGUGGUCAGAUUAAAUAUAUCCAAUUGCUAUAAUUGUGCAGGUUAUACUUUAUUGCACUACUCGAACAACAGAUGGUAUUAUUGCAAAUUCUACAAGAAUAUAGCAUUGAGCCAUGUAGUUGUUGUAAUAUCUCUGAGCAAAUUUCACCACUAUGUAUUCCGCUUUAUCUUCAAAUAUUGUUGCUUCUAUGUCCUAUUUUCAUAUUAAUUAUAGCAUGGUUUACCCAUCUAUUAUGCUUGCAUUUCACAAUUCAACUUAAAUUUUAUGUUGCAAGCAUCCUGUUUUGCUGUUUUUGUUGACACAUGUGUGCAAAUUGAAAAACACAUGUCUUGUGUUGUGCUUCCCUGCAUUCUUUAGAACAAUGUAAUAGAUUACUAUAUCUUUUCUGUAAUAUUUCUUUAUCUGAUUUUUUAUAAUAUUUAUAUCUUACAACAAACUGGUGCAUGAAUUUGGUGAUUUUCUUUUUAAUUUUCAUGGCAAAGUACAAGCACAUAUGUAUAUUUAUGGUAUGUAUACCUCUUUAACAUUUAAAAGACAUUAACAAGAGUAUAGUCAUUGUGUAUCUCAAUGUACUUUAAUCUAACACGUUGACUCCGUAGCAACAACGAGAGGAUGGCUCCUAGCCCUUGUCAUGCUUUCAAGCGUCCCUCCGAUUGCCAUUGCCAGUGCAAUUGUUUCAAAGUUGAUGACAUGGCUCUCCACCCGAAUGCAAGCAAACUACAGUGAUGCUGGAAACGUCGUGGAGCAAACUCUUGGUGCCAUUAGGACGGUUUGUCCUACUAGAUAGCAAACACUUAUUUUUGUUUUGUCUAUUCAUUUACUAUCAUCACCAGUAACUUCCUGAUAUAUAUCCUGCUUACCUGGUUUAUCUGUCCAUGUUUAUCUGAAGGUUGUUUCAUUCAAUGGCGAGAAUCAUGCUAUAAAAAAUAUAACAUGUUCAUAAGAAAGGCGUACUGGUCUUCUCUGCAAGAAGGUGCUGUAAAUCCCCUUGGACUCGGUUUUGUGAUGGCAACCUUAAUUUCAAGUUAUGGCUUGGCUGUUUGGUAUGGAUCUAAGCUGAUAGUCGAGCGAGGUUACAAUGGUGGCAUGGUCAUUUCUGUUAUCAUGUCUGUCAUGAUCGGAGUAAUGUCCUUAGGCCAGGCAACACGAUCAGUGACAGCUUUCGCAGAAGGCCAAGGAGCAGCACAUAGAAUGUUCAAGAUAAUUGAACGCAAGCCAGAUAUUGACAUAGAUGAUAACACAGGUAUCAUAUUGGAGGAUGUCAAGGGUGAUGUUCAACUGAAGGACAUGUACUUCAACUAUCCCACCAGGCCUGAAUUCUCGUUGCAAGUACCAAGUGGAACAACAAUGGCCCUGGUUGGUGACAGCGCAGUGGGAAAUCGACCGUGAUCAGUUUGGUGGAAAGGUUCUAUGACCCACAUGCUGGAGAAGUCUUGAUUGACGGGGUCGACAUUAGAAGAAUGAAGCUUGGAUGGAUGAGAGGAAAAAAUGGUCUUGUCAACCAAGAACCAGUGCUAUUCUCAACUACAAUCAGGGAAAACAUUGCAUAUGAAAUAGAAAAGCCAACACUUGAAGAUAUCAAGAGAGCGAUAUAGCUCGCUAAUGCUGCUAUAUUCAUCGAGAAGUUACCAAAUGUACAACUCAAUCUCUACUUUUCUAAUACUUGACUGGAAAGCCUUGUCUUUUUGUAUGCAUGAUCUGUUGUCAUUGUUGUCAUGGAUUUUAGCUGUUUCUAGCUUGCUCAACGAGUGAUUUCUGCUCU